AGACUGAACGCUGGCGGCAGGCCUAACACAUGCAAGUCGAGCGGUAGAGAGGUGCUUGCACCUCUUGAGAGCGGCGGACGGGUGAGUAAUGCCUAGGAAUCUGCCUAGUGGUGGGGGAUAACGUUCGGAAACGGACGCUAAUACCGCAUACGUCCUACGGGAGAAAGCGGGGGACCUUCGGGCCUCGCGCCAUUAGAUGAGCCUAGGUCGGAUUAGCUAGUUGGUGAGGUAAUGGCUCACCAAGGCGACGAUCCGUAACUGGUCUGAGAGGAUGAUCAGUCACACUGGAACUGAGACACGGUCCAGACUCCUAGGGAGCAGCAGUGGGAAUAUUGGACAAUGGGCGAAAGCCUGAUCCAGCCAUGCCGCGUGUGUGAAGAGGUCUUCGGAUUGUAAAGCAACUUUAAGGUGGAGG
rnacentral:rRNA from 1 species